CUUUCUCUCUUGUUCAGCACUGCUUAUCAGACUGAAAGUUGAAAAACCAACCACGUAUUCGCACGAAAUGGCUCAACACCUAUAUUCUGGUUUUAAUACUAACUUCCUUGCCUCCUGUUCUUGGAAUAUUUCAUGUCAUGAAAAUCCUCGGUAUUCAUCUUUUUAUCUCAAAUGCAUCGCUCUGUUUCUCUGAAUAUCAAAAGCAAUGCUUUGUCUGGGAUGGAUGCUAAAACGCGUGACCAGCCUUAAUGAAGACAAUGCCAAAUAAACGCAAUUCAGCAAGGUACUUUUGUAAUGGGGAGAGGCCACCAUUUCUCCCACUAACCAGCAGACAGUUGAAAUUGUGAUCAUCCUGCACACCCUUUGGUGAGAACGCAGAAGUAUGGUUUCAUUCCUCCCCAUUGUUGAACGAUGCCUGAAUGGUUCAUUUUAGGUAAACAAGCUCAACAUUCUGGAUACCUAAAAGGCUGCUGACUCGCUCUGGACCAAGCUGUCAUAUUUACCGAGUACAUUUGGAAGCAGCUACAGAAUGUAAGAGUUUUCUUCUGGUACAGAAAGACAGCUGUGAAAACUGCAUGGACAUGAACCCAGAGAGUACUGAGCCCAGUGAAGCUACAUCUAUAGACACGAGUGAGUUGCAGACCUCCCCAGAAAGGAAAAUAUAUUUUAUAUACCUGCAGAAGUUUAAGAAUGUAGAACAUACUUUUGAACUGCGGUAUCUCCUUUUCUGCUUUUAGUCAUAGCAGUCAGCCACAAAAUAAUGGGAAGACAAAGCCCAUCUGAACAACUGCAGUCGUGCUGUUGUGGCCACAGAAGGUGCUCGUAUUCCUCCACCAGAGCCCAUAGUGCUUCCCCUCGUGCCAGGAGGGUGUCGUGCUCUCCAUGGAAGGAACACCACCUUCUUCUCCCUGGCAGUAUUAUUUUUGUGGUUGGGAUACAGCCUGGCACUUCUCUGAGGUUCACCUCUGUGUUCAGGCUGGAGAAGUUCCUGCUGUCUGUUACUUUGCACCCUCACAGACACAUAGAGUUUUACAGAAAGAUUAUGUGCCCACUUGAAAAAAAACCUUGGGUUUGCUUUUUCUGGUAACAGUUCCAAGGGUAACCGCACAAGCUUCCAGAUAAAACACGCAAGACUGCUCAUCUCAUUAAACAACCCCAUGCGCAGAAGCAGACUGGUCAUUUCUUAAAUGGCCUCCUUCCUUCUGGGAACCUUAAACUCAAAACUGGAGAGAAACCUCAGAGCUCCUCAUGUCCUUCUGGCCAGCAGAGGCAAUCUGAGGCAGCAUCCCGUCUGUGAGCACAGCAGUGCAUGCACUGCGCAAAGCUUUCUUACAGCAUUUUCAAAGCCGAGCUGCGGGAAGAGGCAGCGACAGGACAGCCAAGGUCACAAGUUUGGCACUUCUUGGGGCAUUACAUACUGAGGUUGCUGUGCACUGUCCAUGCUCUUAGCACUGAAUCUCCUCUGCUUUCCUCCUCUCAUUUUUAGUAGGAGAUUGGAGGGGAAUUUAAGCACGUG
ensembl:lncRNA